rnacentral:rRNA from 1 species
AUUGAACGCUGGCGGCGUGCUUAACACAUGCAAGUCGUGCGGUAACAGGCGUAGCAAUACGUGCUGACGAGCGGCGAACGGGUGCGUAAUACAUGGGAAUCUGCCCUUUAGUGGGGAAUAACCCGGCGAAAGCCGGGCUAAUGCCGCAUAAGAUCUUCGGGUGAAAGCGGGGGAUCGUAAGACCUCGCGCUGUUGGAUGAGCCCAUGUCGGAUUAGCUAGNGGUGAGGUAACGGCUCACCAAGGCGACGAUCCGUAGCUGGUCUGAGAGGACGGCCAGCCACACUGGGACUGAGACACGGCCCAGACUCCUACGGGAGGCAGCAGUGGGAAUAUUGGACAAUGGGGGAAACCCUGAUCCAGCGACGCCGCGUGUGUGAAGAAGGCCU